rnacentral:rRNA from 1 species
CGUAGGGGCGAGCGUUGUCCGGAUUCAUUGGGCGUAAAGCGCUUUAAGGCGGUUCGCUAAGUCGGGUGUGAAACCUCCAGGCUCAACCUGGGAGACGCCACUCGAUACUGGCGUUGACUAGAGUCCGGUAGGGGGACCACGGAAUUCCUGGUGUAGCGGUGAAAUGCGCAGAUAUCAGGAGGAACACCAGUGGCGAAGGCGGUGGUCUGGGCCGGAACUGACGCUGUAGAGCGAAAGCGUGGGGAGCGAACAGGAUUAGAUACCCUGGUAGUCCACGCCGUAAACGUUGGGCACUAGGUGUGGGGGGUUAUCAACGCCUUCCGUGCCGUAGCUAACGCAUUAAGUGCCCCGCCUGGGGAGUACGGCCGCAAGGCUA